UUGAUUAAACGCAAAACAGACCUGGGUAACCUGCCAAUACAUCCUGUUCUCUUUGGCUGUCAGGAACAACAACAUGCGCGCCAACUUUGUGGCAGUAAACCUAUGACAAAAAUAAAGCCUGUGCAUAUGCCGCCGGCAGGCGAAAAGUAGACAGCAUCGCAUCCAUUUGUUUUGGUACAGACGCUCACGCACGAAAUGCUGCUAGGUAUGCCAAAGCGAGAAAAGAUGCGAUUAUUUUCGACACAUACCGUUUCCACAAUAGCAUUGACUUUCAUGAAGUAAGACAUUUUCAACUCUGUUGCA